AGCUUUGCGCAGUGGCAGUAUCGUAGCCAAUGAGGUUUAUCCGAGGUGUGAUUAUUGCUAACUGAAAAAAAAGUUUAAAAAAAUUAAAAUAGGCCGGGCACGGUGGCUCAAGCCUGUAAUCCCAGCACUUUGGGAGGCCGA